UGGGACAGCUGACCUGGAGGUGGUCUCUGAACCUUUGGACCCUGGGGAGAGGACGAUUGCAUGGGUGUCGCAGUUGACGGAGUCCAGCAGGUCCCAGGGAGAUGUUACUGAUGUUUCAAGCGUGGAUUCAGCCCUGCCGGCUGCAUCUGGCUUGUCUGUUGGAGUGGACUUCGACCGAGCUGGUUCUAGCAUGACGUCCCAGGAGGUCAAUAUUGCUACGAGCUGUGGGGAGAGUGUGCAAGUAUGCUCUACUACACCUGACGUGGCGGUGGAUGUAGUUGCUCCUGCCAUUGCUGCUCAGUCCCCAAUGGUUGACUAUAGCCAAACCGGGAAUGCUUCCCAGAUCAGAACCAGACUUGGGCGACUUGUCAAACCGGUGAAUAGACUGAUCCAGACUAUGUCAAAUCAAGUCGUGGCUCGCGACAGGUUUGAUGUGAAGUCAGUUUGUAAGUCUUUGAUUCCGUCCCUCUCUGACUGAAUGUUCUGUUUAUAUGCCUACCUGAGUGAUGGGAUUUGUACUUGCUGUUAUGUACUCCACAUUUUUGUAUUUUGUUUUUCCUUUUGAGCCAUGGUACACACCUUGUAAGGGGUUAUUAGUAGGGUGUAUUUCGGGCACUCUGCUGCCAGUUGCUGGGUUGGGAGUUUAGCGCUGCUCCCAUCCCACUUCAUCCUUAGGGAUGCGUUUAGUUGGUGUCUGUGAUUUUUGACCUCUGUUUGGUUGGUGCGUACCAGUGUGGGUACCUGAGGCUCAAAUUUGAUAAAAUUCAGUGGGGGUGAGUGUAACGGAGUUAAAAAGACAUCUGAAAAACAUGCACUUACCUGGUCUUAAUUAUUAUUUUUUAAGUGUGAAUUUUAUCAUUUUUGUUGUAUUUUAUUUUGAAAACCCAGAAACCGGAUCUCAUUCUAACGUUUAGAAGCUGCUACGGCUUCCGCUCCUCACAGCGCGCACUUGCACUGUGAGGGAGCUGCAAUUGUGGUACCAUCAGAAGACACCUGUUGAAUGUGUUUUAUGUCUUCUGCAGGCACGUUAGCACUGUGCAAAAUAAACCGUGAACAGCC